UCCAGGGUAGCCUAGUGGACAUGGCAUCUGCCCGGUAAGCGGAACACUGUGGGUUCGAUUCCCAUCUCUGGAC